GAUGAACGCUAGCGGCAGGCUUAACACAUGCAAGUCGAGGGGCAUCGAGAGUAGCAAUACUUGUCGGCGACCGGCGCAAGGGUGCGUAACACGUGAGCAACAUACCCGUUUCAGGAGGAUAACCGGAGGAAACUCUGCCUAAUACUCCAUGACAUCAUCAAACGGCAUCGUUUGAUGAUUAAAGAUUUAUCGGAAACGGCUUGGCUCGCGGGACAUUAGCUUGUUGGUGAGGUAACGGCUCACCAAGGCUACGAUGUCUAGGGGUUCUGAGAGGAAGGUCCCCCACACUGGAACUGAGACACGGUCCAGACUCCUACGGGAGGCAGCAGUGAGGAAUAUUGGACAAUGGUCGGAAGACUGAUCCAGCCAUGCCGCGUGAAGGUUACUGUCCUAUGGAUAUUAAACUUCUUUUAUAAGGGAAUAAAGUGAGGGACGUGUCCCUUUUUGUAUGUACCUUAUGAAUAAGGAUCGGCUAACUCCGUG
rnacentral:rRNA from 1 species